ensembl:snoRNA small nucleolar RNA, H/ACA box 36A
UUCCAAAGUGUUGAGUUCAGUUCAGGGCAGCUUCCCUGUUCUGUUAAUUAAACUUUGGGACAUUGAAACACAGGCUGGCCGGGGGGGGUGACUGGAUGGAAAGCAUUACUCUAUUCCUUUACCUCCUAGCCUACAGAU